UCGCCGGUCGCAGGAGAGAGGGGCCCCAGGCCUCCGCCGAAGGCGCAAACUCCCAUAAUCGCUCAGGUACCCAUUACUGCGAAUCACAG
rnacentral:ncRNA from 2 species